UUUGUAGGUGGCCUGCUAAGUCAGACGUGAAAUCCCUCAGCUUAACUGGGGAACUGCGUCUGAGACUGGUAGGCUCGAGGACAGGAGAGGAACGCGGAAUUCCAGGUGUAGCGGUGAAAUGCGUAGAUAUCUGGAGGAACACCGGUGGCGAAGGCGGCGUUCUGGACUGUUUCUGACACUGAAAAACGAAAGCCAGGGGAGGCAAACG
rnacentral:rRNA from 1 species